GUGGAUUUGUGUGUGUGUGUGUGUGUGUGUGUGUGUGUGUGUGAAAGAUGAGAGAGAGAACCUGGCUCUGACUUUAAUGAUCUGUUAUUCAAAGUUAGUGGAAAACGGUGACAGGGCAGGACAUCCAGACAAUACCACAAAAAUGACAAAAGACACCUCAUUUUCAUUUUCACCUCCUUUCCUGGAAGUGGUUUUGUGUGGAAAUGUUAAAAUGUUGUGAAGUGCAUCUGCAGUCAAAAUGAGCAUAAGCCAGAAUAUAA